rnacentral:rRNA from 1 species
AUGUGUGUUCCAAAAAAUAAAGGUGGCAUGGGGUUCCGAGACUUGCAUUGUUUUAAUCUAGCUUUGCUCUCUAAGCAAUGUUGGAGGUUACUUUUCGACCCUGAGUCCCUUUGUGCAAAAGUCCUCGGAGCAAAGUAUUUUCCUUCGGGAGAUCUUCUAAAUUGUGAACUGAAGAAGGGCAGCUCUUAUACUUGGCAAAGUAUUUGGGCAGGCAUCCAUACUUUUAAACGGAGACACAUUUGGCGGGUCGGUGAUGGAUCAAGGAUUAACAUAUGGGAUGACCCUUGGAUCCCGUCCGGCCCCUCCAGGAUGAUUAUGACUACAAGGAAAAAUAUUGUGGCGACGAGAGUUUCUGAUCUAUUGGUGGAGGGUGAUCGUGAAUGGGAUACUGAGCUCAUAAAUGACCUAUUUUGGCCAAUGGAUGCUUAGCGGAUACUGCGAAUUCCUCUGGCUCAGAACGUUAUGGAUGAUUUUGUUGCCUGGCAGUUUAAUAAAAAUGGUAUGUUUUCAGUUAGGUCG